ensembl:snRNA U6 U6 spliceosomal RNA
AUACUUCAGCAGCACAUAUACUAAAACUGGAAUGAUACAGAAAUUAGCAUGUCCCUUGUACAAAGAUGACAUGCAAAUUUGUGAAACAUUCCCUAUUUUU